rnacentral:rRNA from 1 species
CAAUAGCGUAUAUUAAAGUUGUUGCAGUUAAAAAGCUCGUAGUUGGAUUUGUGGCGUACGGUGUGUUCCGGGCACUUGUUGUCUGAGUAACCUGCUGUUGCCAUCCUUGGGUGGAACCUGUGUGGCAUUAGGUUGUCGUGCAGGGGAUGCCCAUCAUUUACUGUGAAAAAAUUAGAGUGUUCAAAGCAGGCUUAUGCCGUUGAAUAUAUUAGCAUGGAAUAAUGAGAUAGGACUUUUUUGCUAUUUUGUUGGUUCGCGCAAAGAGGUAAUGAUUAAUAGGGACAGUUGGGGGUAUUCGUAUUCCAUAGUCAGAGGUGAAAUUCUUGGAUUUUUGGAAGACGAACUACUGCGAAAGCAUUUACCAAGGAUGUUUUCAUUAA